rnacentral:tRNA from 1 species
GAGUAGCUCAGUUGGUAAAGAAUCUGCCUGCAAUGCAGGAUACCCAGGUUUGAGUCCUGGUUC